rnacentral:ncRNA from 2 species
CAUCUAGAUGAUUGUGACGGUUCCCCUUCCGGGGAUCAAAAGGGAAUGCGGUGCGGACCUCUUCGGAGGACCAAUGCCGCAGCUGUUCCCGCAACUGUAAGCGGUUCGACUUUCGUCGGAAUGCCACUGGGAAACUCGGUCCUGGGAAGGCGACGAAAGCUAACACCCGCGAGCCAGGAGACCUGCCGUCAUUCGUGGUCACAC